AUUGAACGCUGGCGGCAGGCCUAACACAUGCAAGUCGAGCGGAUGAAGGGAGCUUGCUCCUGGAUUCCGCGGCGGACGGGUGAGUAAUGCCUAGGAAUCUGCCUGGUAUUGGGGUAUAACGUCCGGAAACGGGCGCUAAUACCGCAUACGUCCUGAGGGAGAAAGUGGGGGAUCUUCGGACCUCACGCUAUCAGAUGAGCCUAGGUCGGAUUAGCUAGUUGGUGGGGUAAAGGCCUACCAAGGCGACGAUCCGUAACUGGUCUGAGAGGAUGAUCAGUCACACGGGAACUGAGACACGGUCCAGACUCCUACGGGAGGCAGCAGUGGGGAAUAUUGGACAAUGGGCGAAAGCCUGAUCCAGCCAUGCCGCGUGUGUGAAGAAGGUCUUCGGAUUGUAAAGCACGUUAAGUUGGGAGGAAGGGCAGUAAGUUAAUACCUUGCUGUUGUGACGGUACCAACAGAAUAAGCACCGGCUAACUUCGUG
rnacentral:rRNA from 1 species